UACGAAGGGUGCAAGCGUUAAUCGGAAUUACUGGGCGUAAAGCGUGCGCAGGCGGUUCGUUGUGUCGGCGGUGAAAGCCCCGGGCUCAACCUGGGAAUGGCCGUUGAAACUGGCGAACUGGAGUGUGGCAGAGGGGGGUGGAAUUCCGCGUGUAGCAGUGAAAUGCGUAGAGAUGCGGAGGAACACCGAUGGCGAAGGCAGCCCCCUGGGCUGACACUGACGCUCAUGCACGAAAGCGUGGGGAGCAAACAGG
rnacentral:rRNA from 1 species